AAUUGCGAACCGUGUCUCGGGAGCGUUAGAGAUGGAGACUAACGUCUUCCAAGGGAGAUUGCGUCUCUACUUUCACCCUGGUACUGAGAGGUUGAGCACAAAAUUGGAACGCAGUCGCGGGGUAUAUCCCCCUGAAAACCGUACGUUGCCAAAUAAUGAUUUCUUUGGAUUAGAGAACUACAACUCCCCUGGGUCCUGAGCCGGUAUUUCCCUUUUGCGGCUGCACCGUAGUUAAAAACAAAGCUAAGUGUUCUGGGACGUAUAGUUCUAGCGUUCCUUGGGUCCCGCUGGCGAGCGUGGGCUUUCUGCAGCUCGCAACCGGCCUCAUGCUUUGCGGACGGUUCACUGCGCUUGGAAAGGGAUUGGCCUGGGGUACAUCAUCUAAAGAUCCUAGGAUUGCUGCAGGUCAGCAGUCUCCACUGGAAAAAAAGAUCUUGAAUCUAGGUGGUGUGCAUACAACAGCAGCAAGACAGUUGAUAAUGCAGAAAUAUCAGGAGGAGUGUGAAAUACUCUGUAGGGAGCAAGCUGUUUCUCUUGACUACUGGCUUGCCAAAGCAGAGUCUUAUUAUAAUAAAAUAAUAGUGGAAAUGAUGAAAGAAGAGACAGGCAAUGAAAUCUAGAAAAAAAUGGAGGAGAAAACAACCCAGAGCGUAGAAGGACUAAAACAGUACUGUUUGGUACCUGAGAGAGAGAUGAAACACAUAGAAAGGCACAUACAUCAAACAGGAAAGGCUGGAGAAUUUAAGAACAAACCAUUUAGACAAGUACUACAACCCCCCAAUGAAACAAAAUUACCAAAAAUUAUGCCAGAAGGGCAUGGCAUCCAGAACGCACAGAGAAGAAAGCAGGUAAAUGAGAGGGAACAGAUGCAGACUAAGGAUCACCAGGAACGCAUGAUUCGAGGGAGAGAACUUGCAGAACAAAGACUCAAGGAGAGAAUCUUGAGAAGAAGCCAGAGCCAGCUACUUACAUAUGAGAAGCAUGAGAGAGUAAAAGAGAUAAAGGAGUUUGAAAGAGUUAUUGCGUAUCUUCUUUUCCAACCAUGCAGUAGAAGUCGGAUUAAACAUGUAUUUCAAGUCCUCUGAUGAAUCAUGUGAUCUACUAGACCCUGAAGAUACAGUGAAGAGCAAAAGAACACGGAUGAAAUGAGAAACAAAAACGAUGGAGAAAACCAAAAAAGGGGACACAUGGGAUCCAGGCAAUAGGAGAGCCAGCAUAAGAGAGAGGCAGAGGGAUGCCCAGGAUGAGGUGAAGACGAUCUUGGAAAUCAGCCCAGAUGUGCAUGCACCAGUCCACGUGUGGCAGGACCAAGGGAAGUGUCUUCACAAAGAUGAGGGGUACACUCCUUUGGAAACCAGAACCUCGUAUCCUGCACAGCCCAGUGUUGGGAGAUAAAAUAUGCGAAAUACCCCAUUGAGUGAAUCUAAGAGAUUGGACAUGGAGCCAAACCUGCUUCCGCCUUUUGAUUUCUGGACACACAUGUUCUUCCUAUUGAGAACACAGAACUCUAGAGACGUCUCUGAUUCAAACAAUGAACUGUGUCCUGAAAGAUGGCACCCACCCCUCAGAGUGCUUCCUCCAGGCUGGCACUGAGUUGUGCCUGUAGAAGACCUGUCCAGCCUUCCUUGUGGCUGGCAGCUCCUGGGUAGUGCAGAUGGUGAUAGGAUUAGUGGAACCCACAGCCGUGGAAACACUGAAACUUUCCCUGCAAAGUGGGUCCUUCAGGCAGAUAAUGGGCUAGGAGCACUGCCUAGCCUGCAGACCAGGAAUGUCAACAGCACCCAGAGAGUGGUGCUGGCUGUGUCUGAGAGCAGGACAGGAAAACCCACCCAUAGAAUCGGUACCUAACCCUGUGAAGAUGAAACUCUGGCCCUUCCAGGUUGGAAGUAGCUAAAUGUAGUCAACUUGUUACUUAGUGGGUAGUCAUGUAAAGAAAUAGUGCCCCACUAGGGCACAUCAUGGGCCUCAAUUGCUGAUGAGUUGGACAUUCAGAGGUGGCAGCAGCUGGAUCUGCCUUGGUGUGGGGAAGUCAGUGCUGCUGGCCCCUUACGGAGCCUCAUGCCUGCCACUGUGGUUGCUCCAUUCAUGCACUCAUCCUACCAGGCCUGGGCUGACCCAUGGUGAAAGCUGGCUAACUGCCAUUUGUCUGUUUGGUAGUUCAGUGCCACUUCAGACUUGGGUGUUUUCUGUGGGUGUCAGCAAGGGAUUCAAGCUCAACCCAGGUGGACUGUUUUCACCUGAUGAUGAAUGCUGUUGGGCCUGUACCAUCUAUGACUUUGUGGGUCACACAGGCACUUGGAACCCCGUAGUUGCUUGGUAUCCCGUGGUCAAACAUUCUAUUGAAUCAGGACAAGGAACACUAAAAGUUGCUUCUAACAGGGGGCAUGUGUCUCUGCUGUGGAUGACAUGAUCUUACUCCAGAAUCCCAGGCCCUCCACUGUGACUCUCCCACUGGUGCUUGGUUCAGCUCCAUCCUGUGUCUUUCCCCACCACUGGCACCACCAGCCCCAGGGGUCUGAGGGAUGGUGGCUGCUUGUACCAUGGCCUGGAUCUGCUGCAGGGUCCUUUCCUGUGUAGGCCCCACUUGAAGCUGGCAUCCUCCUAUGUCACCUAGACUGUGGGCCAAAGCAAAAUGUCUAGAUGUGGAAUGUGGUGUUGUUAUAAUUCAAAGAGGCUCACCAAGCAGUGUGCUUCCUUGCUUCUGGUGAGGAUGCAAGAUGCAACAGUUUUUCUUUUACCUUGGAGGGGACACACCUGCAUUCCCCUAAACACUUGGCACUUGUUCACCCAUAAAACUUCACUUCAGUGCCCACCUUUGAAGCUGUAUAAGGUUUAUCUUCACCUUGUGGGGUGCGUGUGUUUUGCAAAGGACUACAGUGCACUUUCUUCCUGCUGCUCAUCUACUCCAGUCAACAUGAAGUUGUCAAUGAAAUGUGCUGAUUUAAUAUCCUAAAGGAUAUGCAGUAUGUCCAGUACAGUCUUAAGCCUAUACUAUAGAGGGCACAGGUGUUACAAUAGCCCUGAGGCAAACAAUAAAUAAAUGUGUCGUUGAUUCCA
ensembl:lncRNA POLR1HASP POLR1H antisense, pseudogene